UACGAAGGGGGCUAGCGUUGCUCGGAAUCACUGGGCGUAAAGCGCACGUAGGCGGCUCUCUAAGUCAGGGGUGAAAUCCUGGAGCUCAACUCCAGAACUGCCUUUGAUACUGGGGAGCUUGGAGUCCGGGAGAGGUGAGUGGAACGUGCGAAGUGUAGAGGUGAAAUUCGUAGAUAUUCGCAAGAACACCAGUGGCGAAGGCGGCUCACUGGCCCGGUACUGACGCUGAGGUGCGAAAGCGUGGGGAGCAAACAGG
rnacentral:rRNA from 1 species